UGGGAAUCCUAAAACACCAGGACACUGCGAAUGCUGCAAUAUAAAAUACAUCCUAUGAAAACAGAGCCUGAGCGGAACACGCUGGAUAUUUGAGGAAUGAGAAGCACUAAAUUCAGAGUUUGCGGUGUAUAUAUGCACAAAGUACUCUCCUUUUCGAAAAGCUCCGAAGUUCAAGGUAAACUACCCCGUGACCUUAGGACUAACUGCACCGGGACUCUGUUCCCUAACUCCUAAGAGGAACGGUGUCUAUUGAAUACAUCAGAGGAACUAGUUGUGAGUGAGAAAGCCUGCGUUGGAAACAAGUUUUCUGUGGCCUUCAGCUUUGUGUUGAGUCAGCUGGGGGCUUGCUGAGUGUGGGACUCUGCUGGGAGAGCUGGAAGAAAAAGAACUGGAAGUGACUGACAGCAGCUGGCAAAGGGCUCAGCCGGGAUCCGACCUGUGUUGAAACCAGGU